UACGAAGGGGGCUAGCGUUGCUCGGAAUCACUGGGCGUAAAGGGUGCGUAGGCGGGUCUUUAAGUCAGGGGUGAAAUCCUGGAGCUCAACUCCAGAACUGCCUUUGAUACUGAAGAUCUUGAGUUCGGGAGAGGUGAGUGGAACUGCGAGUGUAGAGGUGAAAAUUCGUAGAUAUUCGCAAGAACACCAGUGGCGAAAGGCGGCUCACUGGCCCGAUACUGACGCUGAGGCACGAAAGCGUGGGGAG
rnacentral:rRNA from 1 species